rnacentral:SRP_RNA from 1 species
GCCGGGCGCAGUGGCGCCCGCCUGUAAUCCCAGCUACUCAGGAGGCUGAGGCAGGAGAAUCGCUUGAGCCUGGGAGGCGGAGGUUGCGGUGAGCUGAGAUAGAGCCACUGCACUCCAGCCUGGGUGAUAGAGCGAGACUCUGUCUCAA